rnacentral:rRNA from 1 species
AGAGUUUGAUCAUGGCUCAGGAUGAACGCUAGCUACAGGCUUAACACAUGCAAGUCGAGGGGCAGCAUGUUGGUUGCUUGCAACCAAUGAUGGCGACCGGCGCACGGGUGAGUAACGCGUAUCCAACCUACCCUUGUCCAUCGGAUAACCCGUCGAAAGGCGGCCUAACACGAUAUGCGGUUCACAGCAGGCAUCUAAGGUGAACGAAAUGUGAAGGAGAAGGAUGGGGAUGCGUCUGAUUAGCUUGUUGGCGGGUAACGGCCACAAGGCUACGAUCAGUAGGGGUUCUGAGAGGAAGGUCCCCCANAUUGGAACUGAGACACGGUCCAAACGUCCCGUACGGGAGGCA